UGAGGAAUAUUGGUCAAUGGGCGAGAGCCUGAACCAGCCAAGUAGCGUGAAGGAUGACUGCCCUAUGGGUUGUAAACUUCUUUUAUAAAGGAAUAAAGUCGGGUAUGCAUACCCGUUUGCAUGUACUUUAUGAAUAAGGAUCGGCUAACUCCGUGCCAGCAGCCGCGGUAAUACGGAGGAUCCGAGCGUUAUCCGGAUUUAUUGGGUUUAAAGGGAGCGUAGAUGGAUGUUUAAGUCAGUUGUGAAAGUUUGCGGCUCAACCGUAAAAUUGCAGUUGAUACUGGAUAUCUUGAGUGCAGUUGAGGCAGGCGGAAUUCGUGGUGUAGCGGUGAAAUGCUUAGAUAUCACGAAGAACUCCGAUUGCGAAGGCAGCCUGCUAAGCUGCAACUGACAUUGAGGCUCGAAAAUGUGGGUAUCAAACAGGAUUAGAUACCCUGGUAGUCCACACGGUAAACGAUGAAUACUCGCUGUUUGCGAUAUACGGCAAGCGGCCAAGCGAAAGCGUUAAGUAUUCCACCUGGGGAGUACGCCGGCAACGGUGAAACUCAAAGGAAUUGACGGGGGCCCGCACAAGCGGAGGAACAUGUGGUUUAAUUCGAUGAUACGCGAGGAACCUUACCCGGGCUUAAAUUGCAGAUGAAUUACGGUGAAAGCCGUAAGCCGCAAGGCAUCUGUGAAGGUGCUGCAUGGUUGUCGUCAGCUCGUGCCGUGAGGUGUCGGCUUAAGUGCCAUAACGAGCGCAACCCUUGUUGUCAGUUACUAACAGGUUCUGCUGAGGACUCUGACAAGACUGCCAUCGUAAGAUGUGAGGAAGGUGGGGAUGACGUCAAAUCAGCACGGCCCUUACGUCCGGGGCUACACACGUGUUACAAUGGGGGGUACAGAGGGCCGCUACCACGCGAGUGGAUGCCAAUCCCAAAAACCUCUCUCAGUUCGGACUGGAGUCUGCAACCCGACUCCACGAAGCUGGAUUCGCUAGUAAUCGCGCAUCAGCCACGGCGCGGUGAAUACGUUCCC
rnacentral:rRNA from 1 species